UGGUCUGGAUCCAAGUUACUUUUUGAGUGUGUAAAGCUGGAAAUGUGGUGCAAGUUUUCCAAUCAAAUGGAUUAAGAAUUGAUAUACCAGCAACUCGUACCUGAGUAGUUUAGUACGUUUAUAACUGCCAAGAUCCCCUGGAGCUGAAAAGCACAAAAAUUCUCCAUCCAUCAUCAGUAAUUUGGUAUAAGUCUCGGUCUACCAAUAUUAGCAGCCGUCACUUGGGUCAAUCAGGACACACAUGUCAUAAUUUAUAAUUAGUUAGUGGAAAUAAAUACCUAAUUACAGAAUCAUUUCCUCUGGGAAACAAGAUUUUAGUUUGAAAAGAUUUGUUUAGCGCACAUAUGAUAUGCAUUGGGACAGGAAUGACUUCUAUAACAGAGUUUCUCUUGUUCGUAUUAACAGCUAAUAUGCUUCCGAUUUGUUCUUCAUAAAAUACGAACCUAUAAAUUGACAAUAGUUAUCUAUAUUAUCCGCAAGCUAGCCAAGACGAAGUACUUGCAAAGCAAGAGUUGAUUGUGUGAUAUUUUAAUAACCCACAACUUCCACUCACACUAUUUCUAAAUUGGCUGCUCUGGCGUGCUCAGCCAGUAAUGACUUAUUAUUAAGUUUAAGCUUGUUUUUCAAAGUCUUAUAAAGAGGCAAAACGCACAAACUCUCCCUCUUCAAACCUGAAAUCCAUCACAUUCAAACAACUCCUCUAGUGCGCCUACAAACGCCAGUCAUACUCAGCUACCUUCUACCCUUAUAAAUAUACAAGCUCCCGUGUCGUUUCAUUUCUGUGGAUCAACCCUAAAUAUAAGUACAAUUGUGUUUGUACCUCUACAAGGUGGAUCAUCAUGAUUCUUCAGAGUGCAUUUGUGCUGAGGAGUAUAAGGGCUGUGCUAAUUAUAGGUAUGAUAUUACUAGGAGGCAUGGCUACGAAGGGAGAUUCGAUGAAAGUGAAAAGUAUGGAAUUCUUUAGCUCAAUUCAGAGCGAGCUUCCCAGAGGUCCGGUGCCUCCUUCGGAUCCUUCUCCAUGCCAUAACAGGGUGAAGCUCACGCAUGAAGGAUCGCAGUACUCUUAUGGUCAUGCUCAUUUCAUCAUGUGCCCGUGAUUAACUUCUAUCCCAUACUCCGACAACUUAUUAUUUCAAUCAUUUACGUUGUUGUAACAGCUCAAACCUUCAAAGUUCCAGUUCAUAGUCUUUAAACAGAGUUCAUGACCGGGUUCGAGUAUCAGGAGAGACACGUCCGAGUACAAGUUAUACUUGUUUGGUUUCAAAUCUCAUCAAAUGUGUCGUUAAUCUUACAGCAACGUCUUGUUCUGUAUCAGUGAAAUGUGUGCAAGUAGUCCUAUAUUUGAAGAACAAAACCUUUUGUUCUUUUUCUUGUUGAUAUCAUAGUAGAGUUUUCAUUUUUUUGUAAUCGUAUCUUAUCUGCCAAAACAAUAACUUUUCCGUUUUGCUAUGGGAUCUAUUAAUUUUUCUACUCAUGUAACCAUGAAUUUUUGUAAUUGUAACUAGUAGUUCUCGCAUUCAAAGUAGAUUCCUGUUUCUCAAAUAUGCUUAUGGUGUUAAGGACUGACAAAUAAACCAAUAGACGUUGUGGUUCGAAUCAUGUUCUGUAUCGAUACAUCUGAUUAACACCUGGAUUCCACUUUUGAAUAAGAUUUGAGAGCAAUCAUAUCUCUGAUAUUUUUUUCA
rnacentral:lncRNA from 1 species